UUCUUUCUUUUUCAAUUUCGGUUUCUAUUCUACUUUUUAAUACUAUGUUUUGGAUUUCGUUCAUCAUGUCUGAGUAGUUUAUUGUUGGGAUUAAGAAAUUUUCGAUGGGGGUUUAUAUGUUCGAUGAGGAUUCCAUGAGCUUUUGAGCCGAAUCUUAGAACUUUUUCUUCUGAAUUCGUUUUUACUGCAUGAGAGUAGCGUCAUGAACUACAAUCUAAUCCAGAUGCUUGGUGACACGAAAGUGUUCAUCAGAUCUAGUUUUGGAGAGCAAAACAAACAUAGGAGUGGAAACCUACCUAUGGACGAUUUGUGAAUGCUGACGAGUCUUAAAGAUAAUGCAUCUCUUCUUUUCCUGGGCCAGAGUGGAAACCUACUGGUCAGGGUUGAGAGAGAUAGUUGUCUAUGAUCACGACAAUGGCGUAUUCAUACGUCCGUGACUCCAGUUCGAAAAGUUUAAGCUAAGAUCUUAUCAAUUUUACUCUCUAGCAAUGUUUUGAAUCGUUCGUACCCCUGAGAAAACUUCCCUGAAGCCCAAUGCUUUCUUUCUUAUAGAUUCACACCGUUUUUAUUUCAAGCUUUAGUUCAAUAUUCUCAUUCUUUUUUAGUCGAUUUUCAUUUAAGCAAUUAGAUUAGCCGUUUUUCCCGUUUUUACCUGUUUUCGUUAAGUUUAGUUAUUAGGUCAUUUUAAUUCCCGUAUCUUCUCUUUAAGAUUCGUUUUUACAUAUUAAACACACCACCAAAACCCCCACAAAACCGUUUGGUUCUAGACUUCCUUACUUUAUAUUUCUUUCGAAGGCUUUUGCAGGAAAGAUCCUCCUUCCCUGUGGAUUCGAUCCCUAAGUACUACAAUCGAUCAGCUGUGCACUUGCGGCUAUUGAUUUCAUUUAGGGUAAAAAUUGACAACCCUCAACACCACACCGACACCCACAUCAAGUUUUUGGCGCCGUUGCCAGGGAAGGCACGCAUUUUGUUUUCCGCAAAACCCCAAGAAAGGUUGGUAAAUCGACUCUAGAACCCCUUUUCUGCUUAUUUCCAUUUUUCGGUUAUUUUGUUUCCAUUUCAGAAGAUAUGGAUCCUAUAAAUCGAAAUACACACUAUGAGGAAGGUUUCUAUAACACUCCUCAAGCCACCAGACGCAGAGAGAAGCAGUACUUACACGAUCUCUACGAAGAAAUUCAAACCGAAGACUACAGAACGUUCCAGAACGAGCCCUACGUACCUCCAAUGGCAAACCCUAGAUAUCCUAUGUAUCGCCUACCUCACCAGGUCCUCCACCGUGAUGAGAACGUCCUGCUCAGCAACCGAUUGAGCCAGCUCGAAGGUGUGAUCAGGCAGUUCAUAGAGGCUCGAGCAACCGCUACAGCCGCUCUAAACGAAAAGAUUGACGUGAUAUCAAAACUUUUCAAUGAGAAGAUCGAUAACCUAGCCUCACAAGUCAAUUCAAUAGAAGAAAGAGCAACCAAGGACGCAGCCAUGAUCGCUAACAAGUUCAACAGCAUGGAGGAGGAGCAAGCAAAGCACACCUAUGAGCUUCGCAACACCAAAAAAAAAGUCAUGGACCUGGAUUUCAAACUUGAUGAUGUGGACAAAGCCCUAAACGAAGCUAAGAACGAGUCUUAUGACUUCACAGUCGAAGUUUCAGAGAAGGUUUACAAAGUCAUUGACAAAACCAAAGAGCUUGACUCAACCAUGGACAAAGUAGUCUAUGCUCUUGAUGAGGUUGAAGAAAAGGUUGAGGAGAUCAUACAAGGACUUGGAGAGCAGAUUCCAGCAACCAAAACUAAAGACUCAAGUCCAGAGAGGAAGUACAUCAAACCAGAAGACCCAGGAGACGAUCCAGGAAGCAAAGGAGCAAGCAACAGCAGCAGAUCAACUCGGAGACACUUCCCCGCGGUCGCGUCACCUCCGACCGCGGCCAAGAAGCCCCUCCCCGCGAUCGUGUUAGGUCUACCCGUGGCCUAUGGUCGUUUUCCCGCGGUCGCGUCACCUGCAGUCAAGGCCAACCGGAAAAACGUUCCAAAACAGUCCCGUUCGACUCAUACAAGCAUCUGUACGUCUGAUACACCUCCUGGGAUGACUAACCACUCCAUCAACAACUGGUUUGCUCCAUCAGCACCCAAAGAUCUGAAGACAAGGACAAGUCAUGGUCCUGCAACAUGGCUUUGUCUUGUGAAGAUGAGUAUGAAGAGCAAUACUCUGAAGAUGAAGAGUAUGGGUUGUUUGUAGAAGAUCCAAACGCAGGAUAUUGCUCAGAGGACAAUUCAGGAGAAAUUCAAUGGAUCACAAACAACAUCAGUAGAGAGAAGCUAAUGGAGUUCAACAACGUAGUCAGGUCAUUCCCUGCUCACCUAAGCUUUGAUGAAAUUUGGAAGCUUGGUCGUUUGCAAGUCUUGUUCAGGUACUGCAAGGAGUCUAAAAAGGAUCCAUAGAUACUUUCUGAGAGCUCGAUGCAUGACAACACCAGAAGCAGCUGUCUAUGCGAUUCACCUCAAAAAGCCCGAAGACUGCAGCCACUACACCAACAAAAUCAGCAAAGAGAAGCUCGACGAAUUCAAUGAUGUAGUUCGAAAUUUGCCUGAAGGAAUCACCUUUGCCAGAGCUUGCAAGGACUUCAUGAUAGGCCACUACUUCUGUGAGAGCAAGGAAUCAAUCCCUGAGAUAGAAGAUUUGUUCAACCAUGCAAGAAGAGGUAAACCUGUUCGAACACUUCACAAAAUCGAAGGUGUAGGUCAGUUUCUUAUCUCUUGUUCUAUUAGAGGAGAAAUGUUUAAAAACGUGCUAUGUGAUUCUGGAGCUUGUCUUAACAUGAUGUCCAAGGCAAUUGCUUUGAGACUUGGUAUUAAACACCUGCGCAGGACUAGAGCAAAGAUUAGUCUAGCUGAUGGUUCCAAUGCAACACCUCAAGGAAUAUCUCAUGAAAUUCCUUUGAGAAUAGGAGAUUGCAUAGUGCCUGUCGACUUCUACAUUGUCGAGACGAGAGAUGCAACAUAUCCAGUGAUUCUCGGAUGGUCUUUUCUAGCAACUUCCAGAGCUAUAAUGGACUGGCCAAACCGGAGGAUUUCAUUUGCUAAUAUCGACAAAGAUGUCUGCACAGAAGCUGUCCCAUACAACAGCAAAGCAGGAAAACGUUCUGCAACAGAAGAGUUUGAAGAAGAACUUUGGAGUGACGAAGAACCUGCUAGGCAAAGCAAGGAGAUGUCGAAAAGACUUGUCUCAGGACAAGUUCUUCUUCAUUGGACUAAGCCACGUCCAACACCAAAAGUCGAGCUAAACGACUUAAAACAGAAGCGCUUAAUGGGAGGCAACCCAUUUAGGUAUUGUUUUCUUUAGGAUUUUUCUUUCUUUUUCUAUUGAUCUUUUUCUUUUUCUUAGUUUUAGGUAUUUCUUAUAAGAUAAAAAGCCAAAAAAAUCAAAAAAACCCGAAAAAACCAAAAAGAAGGAUGGUCCCUGACUGCUCGGCCCAGCAGGAACCAAGGAGAAGCAGGAAGAGGCCGCGAAAUAAGCCCCGCGGUCGCAGACGUUCUGACCGCGGGAAACGCCUCUUCGACCGCGGUCGCGUGUUUCUGACCGCGGCCAAGCACCUGUUUACCACGGUCGCGUGGCUCCUGACCGCGUCCAAGUACCUGUUUACCGCGGUCGCGUGGCUCCCGACCGCGGCAAAUGGUCGUUGAGAUCAAACCCGACCCCAAACCACCCACUUCACCCCAUUCCACCUCACCAAUCCCCACUCCACCUCAUUCAUCACCCUCCACCACCUUCAUCACCACCUAUCACCUUCCCAAACCUCCUCGAAUGAACCCGGUUCAUCUCCACCAGCAUCUCGGAUCCAGGUAAGUUCUCUUUGGAUUUACCAAUUCGAUUAUCUAUGCAUUUUUCUCAUCCAGUCUCGACUUGUUUCACACUGAGGACAGUGUGAUUUAAGUCUGGGGGAGGAUUUCAUCCCUUUCUAACCACUUUUCUUUCAUGAGUCUUGCAUUAUCUACACUUUUUGCAUUUUCCUUAAAGUUUUUCAAAAUCGGUUUUCAAAACAAAAUACGUUUUAAAAGGGAAUGGUGAACAUGAAUCAAUGAUAGUUGACUGUGUGCUUUUAGACUGUUCCUAGUGACAUGCUCAUUCAUGAUUUAGGACUAGACUAGGCGGUAGCUAAGCACAUUUGAAACGAAGUACCCCAGAGGAAUUUGAAUGAUUUCGAUUUAGAUGAAGGGAUACACUAGCUCUGUUUUAUUUGGACUUAAUCUGGACUUAACUUUCUCAUUGAAGCUUUAGACCAGGGAAACGAAUCAUACAUUCAGGACUCCUUUAUCCUUUUACCACUCUCAGUUGAUCCUGAAUGGCUAGUUCAUCUUUAGCUAGUUCCCCACCUUAACCAAUCCUCUUUCAAACCACAUGCACUCUUGUUUUCUAUUGUCUUAUAUGCAGAUUAGUGCAAAAACGUUGGAGAGAAAGAGGAACGACGCAGUUUUCAGUCAUCAAGGACAGAGACCUACGAUUUGCCAGAAAAGUUCCCGGAAGGAUUUAACACAAGAGAAAGCUCAGUUUGCUUUAGAAAGAUCUCAAAUUUUGUUAUAAUCUCGUCAUCUAGUCUCUCUUUCUUUAAAAGGCAUUUCCUUUUCAAAAACAAAAAACAAAAAAAUCCGAAAAUAAGAAAAGAAGGAAAUAAAAGCCUUAGAGAGUCUAGAGAGGUCAAAUUUUAAGUCCCAAGGCAACUGGAGUUCGAUUUUAUGGAGUUUUGGAGAUCAUUUUCUGAUUCCCGGAAAGAAUCUAAGUCUGGGGGAAUAGCUGUUUACAACAAAGGAGGAAGGAUUAUGCAACAACAUUUGGCAAGAAGAAGUGACUGAAAAUUGCGGUCAUCAACAAGUUCUUAUCUCUCUUGCGGUUUUGCAUAUUAUCUUGCAUCCUCCAGAUCUUCAGGUAACCCGAAACACUUUAACUCCAUCACUUAAACAGCCAUUUAAUGCCAAACGCCGUCUACCCUGGAUGAUGUCUUUAAUGAGAACUCACUAUUGAACUUAAUGAAUGUAGAGAGCUAGUUGACUAGAAUCAAGAUUUAGAUUGUUUAAGUUUUGCAUGACGGAAAAAGGGGACUAGUAUCUCUUGUGCAUUGGUGAGAAUUUUCUAGACUAAGUUGUGGAUUGAUGCACUACCUUUGUUCCUAGUUUAGGAGUUCAUGUCUAUGAGAUUUGUGCAUUUCCUAUUUUUGUUUUCACUUAACCAGUUUAGGCUUUUGCUUUGUUUGAGGACAAACAAAGUUUUAAGUCUGGGGGAGUUGAUAACACCAUAUUUUGACCACUUUUAUGGAUCAUUUUGAAAUACUUUUUCUAUGCUUUUAAUUGCUUUUAAGUACUUUUAUUACGCUUUUCUAGUAUUUGUAGUUCCAAGACUCUUUUCAGGUAACUUAUGGAAAAGCUUAACAAAAUGGAUAGAAAACCAGAUUUCAGCUCAGAGUCAAAUCGUCAGAAGUUCACCCCUGAUUGAAGGCCUUCUCACCGUCUGAUCCAGCUCAAAUUUGGAGAUCUUAAAGAUGGAAGUAUCAGCUUUCCAGCACACUUUACAGCUUGGCAAUCCAACAGUUCAAUCAAAGGAUACGCGAAGAGCAAGAUGUCCCGUAAACCAGCCGGUGACCGUUUCCACCCGCGGUCAACUGAGCAUUUCCCGCGGUCAGAAGCACCGCGACCGCGGCCAGCAACCCAUUCCCUGCGGUCACAGCCAUCCCGACCGCGGCCAACUACCUCCGAGCCCGAAGGCCCAUUUCUGAAGCCCAAAAUGAUUCCCUCAUUUGGAGAAACCCUAAGUGACGCCUAGAGAUGUCUUGAGCACUAUAAAUACAUGUCCUAGGAACCCUAAUUCGUACGAUGCCUUCAUAUGUUCUUAUUGUUUUUGAAUACUUUUUAAGUUUUAGGUUUUAGAGAGAGAGAGAGAUUUGUCUCUUGAACCCUUGUUCUUUCUUUUUCAAUUUCGGUUUCUAUUAUACUUUUUAAUACUAUGUUUUUGAUUUCGUUCAUUAUGUCUGAGUAGUUUUAUUGUUGGGAUUAAGGGAUUUUCGAUGGGAAUUUAUAUGUUCGAUGAGGAUUCCAUGAGCUUUUGAGCCGAAUCUUAGAACUUUUUCUUGUGAAUUCGUUUUUACUGCAUGAGAGUAGCGUCAUGAACUACAAUCUGAUCCAGAUGCUUGGUGACACGAAAGUGUUCAUCCGGUGUCAGAUCUAGUUUGGUAGAGCAAAAAAAACAUAGGAGUGGAAACCUACCUAUGGGCGAUUUGUGAAUGCUGACGAGUCUUAAACAUAAUGCAUCGCUUCUUUUCCAGGGCCAGAGUGGAAACCUACUGGUCAGGGUUGAGAGAGAUAGUUGUCUAUGAUCACGACAGUGGCGUAUUCAUACGUCGGUGACUCCAGUUCAAAAAACAUUAAGCUAAGAUCUUAUCAAUUUUACUCUCUAGCAAUGUUUUGAAUCGUUCGUACCCCUGAGAAAACUUCCCUGAAGCCCAACGCUUUCUUUCUUAUAGAUUCA
rnacentral:lncRNA from 1 species